rnacentral:rRNA from 1 species
UACGUAGGGCGCAAGCGUUGUCCGGAAUUAUUGGGCGUAAAGAGCUCGUAGGCGGUCUGUUGCGUCCGCUGUGAAAACCCAGGGCUUAACCCUGGGCUUGCAGUGGAUACGGGCAGACUAGAGGUAGGUAGGGGAGAAUGGAAUUCCCGGUGUAGCGGUGAAAUGCGCAGAUAUCGGGAGGAACACCGGUGGCGAAGGCGGUUCUCUGGGCCUUACCUGACGCUGAGGAGCGAAAGCGUGGGGAGCGAACAGG